rnacentral:tRNA from 1 species
GCCUCGAUAGCUCAGCCUGGCUAGAGCAGCUCCCUUGUACCGCAUGGUUACCGCACCUUUCAACUGAAAGUGUGCUCAAAGCAAGAAAGGAGCAGGUCGAGGGUUCAAAUCCCUCUCGGGGCU